rnacentral:rRNA from 1 species
GGGCAACCCUGACCGAGCAACGCCGCGUGAGUGAAGAAGGUUUUCGGAUCGUAAAGCUCUGUUGUAAGUCAAGAACGAGUGUGAGAGUGGAAAGUUCACACUGUGACGGUAGCUUACCAGAAAGGGACGGCUAACUACGUGCCAGCAGCCGCGGUAAUACGUAGGUCCCGAGCGUUGUCCGGAUUUAUUGGGCGUAAAGCGAGCGCAGGCGGUUUGAUAAGUCUGAAGUUAAAGGCUGUGGCUCAACCAUAGUUCGCUUUGGAAACUGUCAAACUUGAGUGCAGAAGGGGAGAGUGGAAUUCCAUGUGUAGCGGUGAAAUGCGUAGAUAUAUGGAGGAACACC